rnacentral:lncRNA from 1 species
UGAGCCCAUUUAUUGUGUCAACUUUAUUUAAUCCUAUUGGACCGGGUCGGUUCGUUGGAUUAACCCAUUGGGUCAUUUAAUAUCUAUUACUUUGACUUGUAAUGAUGAUAUAGUAUGACAGUUGACCAAGAUAUUUGCCAUGCAUUAAUGUGGAUGGGAUUAUAGUCGGCCGGCGGUGCAAACAGUGGCCAAGAGCAGUGGAUGAACUUCAUGCAGUCGGUCGAACCCAUCAGGUCAGGGGGAUAUGUCAGGUGAUAGUGGGCGGCACGAUAAUCCAAGUAAGGAUAUUAUUUCUUAGUGAGUAAGUCUUCACAAGGAGGU